AGGGAGAAGUGAUACACAGGUGUCUGUAAACUGUUAGUCACUUGUCACUUUUCUCCCAACAUGAAUAUGUGCUUUCUGAUGACUGUAAUGUGUUGAGAUUUGAAUUACAGACAGAUACGGGGCAUACAGUG